ACCCAGACAGAGCAGCACGAGACAGGAUGGAGACGAGGCGCCGGGAGCAGUGGGAGGAGAGCAGGAGACAGGAGGAGGAAGAGGCCGACCUCAGGGAGGAGCUCCGGCUCCAGGACGAGGAGCUUCGGCUGGAGAAGGAGAGGAUGACCCAGCGAGGCUACGAGGAGAGGAUUCGCAGCAGACCCCGUUCAGCCUGGACCUGAGGACCUGAGGAGAAUGUGGAUCUGUCACCGUGCUUUUUGCUACAAAAAAUUGUAAAUUAAUCAUAAAGCUUGUCCGGCAACGAAAUCAGGACGAGCAGCAUGUUGAAAAGAAUGCCUUUUUUCAUUAUUUUAUUAAAUAAAUUACAAUUUGUUGUAUUUAUUUUAGUUUUGAAUUUUCCUGACGUGACAAAUCAAGAUUAAAAAUGAUUUUCUCCCCAAA